rnacentral:lncRNA from 1 species
GGAAACUACAGCGUCUGUUGCGAUCCAGUCUGCAUUGAACGAGAUGAUAAAUGAGUCACUAAACACGUCUGUCGAUCCUUGCGAUGAUUUCUACUCAUACGCCUGCGGCGGGUGGGUAGCCAAGCAUCCCAUACCAGACUCGAGAUCAAGCAUUGGGAACUUCGACCUACUCCGCGAAGAGCUGCAACGUACCUUGAAGUACAUAUUAGGAAACAUGACACUAAGACCGGAGAACCAGAAUAUAACGGACAAGCUUGCUGUGGC